ensembl:lncRNA
ACCGACCGACCGGCUGGGAGAGGAAUUAGAUGUGAGGUGAUCGAUACGGGGUGUGUGAGAGAAAGGUCCAUGUGCGCCAGAACAUACUGAAAUGGACACGGCUGCCAACAACAUGGUGUUGGGAAGAUCCACUAUCUUUAAAGAGCACGUUUGUGGUUUCCCGCAUGGCGUCUCAUUGGUAUUUGUCUUUUCCAGCCACGACAACGAAGGCAGUGGCAACAACCCGCAACAAGAAGGACUUCCAAACAUUCACAUUAACAUUGACACAUCCCGAAAGAUUCGAUGUACCGAGUUGCACUUCUUCAUUUAAGCUCCCAGCUCCGCGGACAGAUCUGUGCAUUGAGUUCUGUGAAUUUGAGGAGUCAUAGGCCCGAAUCACAAUUAUCUAUUAUCCACGCCGCCGAGCAAACCAAAUUGAACUGAACUUCCUGUGAC